CAUGCAUGCAAUGACAUGUCACAACCUGUGACUAUUAGGCCUCUGGGUUGUUGUUGCUCCUGUCAAACGUGUGGGCGUUAUUGCAGCCCCAUCUUUUAAAUGAUUGGCCCCACAAGCGCCCUCUUGUUUUAUCAUCAAACAUGCAUCCCGAGUAGCAAAAUAACCAUGUGUUAUACAUACUUGAAUCCAGCCAGCUCAUAAUUUAAAUUGGAAGAAUAGCGCAAAUCAUACAACACGAACCUGUCUUCACGUGAAACUGGAUGAUAUAUCAUGUACAUCACUUUUUUUGGGUAAUUACAGAUAUUUCGGGAAUAAUUUGGACGAUAGUUCCAGCUUCAGGCAAAUAUCAUGUAUCAUGAACUAUCAUAAAGUGUGGAUUUGUAACCAU
rnacentral:lncRNA from 1 species